CCUACGGGUGGCAGCAGUAGGGAAUCUUGCACAAUGGGCGAAAGCCUGAAGCAGCAACGCCGCGUGGGUGAAGAAGGUCUUCGGAUUGUAAAACCCUUUUGUUAGAGAAGAAAGUGCGGGCGCGUAACGGUUCACGAUUGGACAGUAUCUAACCAGAAAGCCUCGGCUAACUACGGGCCAGCAGGUGCUGCAAAACGGAGGGGGCUAGCGUUAUCCGGAGUUAUUGGGCGUAAAGGGAGCGCAGACGGUCUAGUAAGUCAGAUGUGAAAGUCUACGGCUUAAACGUAGAAGUGCAUUUGAAACUGGCAGUCUUGAGUACAGUAGAGGUAAGUGGAAUUCGUGGUGUAGCGGUGAAAUGCGUAGAGAUCAAGAAGAACACUGAUUGCGAAGGCGGCCCGCUGGAACGUAACUGACGCUGAGGCUCGAAAGCGUGGGUAGCAAACAGGAUUAGAUACCCGGGUAGUC
rnacentral:rRNA from 1 species